GACGAACGCUGGCGGCGUGCUUAACACAUGCAAGUCGAACGGAAAGGCCCUGCUUUUGUGGGGUGCUCGAGUGGCGAACGGGUGAGUAACACGUGAGUAACCUGCCCUUGACUUUGGGAUAACUUCAGGAAACUGGGGCUAAUACCGGAUAGGAGCUCCUGCUGCAUGGUGGGGGUUGGAAAGUUUCGGCGGUUGGGGAUGGACUCGCGGCUUAUCAGCUUGUUGGUGGGGUAGUGGCUUACCAAGGCUUUGACGGGUAGCCGGCCUGAGAGGGUGACCGGCCACAUUGGGACUGAGAUACGGCCCAGACUCCUACGGGAGGCAGCAGUGGGGAAUAUUGCACAAUGGGCGGAAGCCUGAUGCAGCAACGCCGCGUGCGGGAUGACGGCCUUCGGGUUGUAAACCGCUUUCGCCUGUGACGAAGCGUGAGUGACGGUAAUGGGUAAAGAAGCACCGGCUAACUACGUGCCAGCAGCCGCGGUGAUACGUAGGGUGCGAGCGUUGUCCGGAUUUAUUGGGCGUAAAGGGCUCGUAGGUGGUUGAUCGCGUCGGAAGUGUAAUCUUGGGGCUUAACCCUGAGCGUGCUUUCGAUACGGGUUGACUUGAGGAAGGUAGGGGAGAAUGGAAUUCCUGGUGGAGCGGUGGAAUGCGCAGAUAUCAGGAGGAACACCAGUGGCGAAGGCGGUUCUCUGGGCCUUUCCUGACGCUGAGGAGCGAAAGCGUGGGGAGCGAACAGGCUUAGAUACCCUGGUAGUCCACGCUGUAAACGGUGGGUACUAGGUGUGGGGUCCAUUCCACGGGUUCCGUGCCGUAGCUAACGCUUUAAGUACCCCGCCUGGGGAGUACGGCCGCAAGGCUAAAACUCAAAGGAAUUGACGGGGCCCCGCACAAGCGGCGGAGCAUGCGGAUUAAUUCGAUGCAACGCGUAGAACCUUACCUGGGUUUGACAUGGAUCGGGAGUGCUCAGAGAUGGGUGUGCCUCUUUUGGGGUCGGUUCACAGGUGGUGCAUGCCUGUCGUCAGCUCGUGUCGUGAGAUGUUGGGUUAAGUCCCGCAACGAGCGCAACCCUUGUUCACUGUUGCCAGCACGUUAUGGUGGGGACUCAGUGGAGACCGCCGAGGUCAACUCGGAGGAAGGUGGGGAUGACGUCAAGUCCUCAUGCCCCUUAUGUCCAGGGCUUCACGCAUGCUACGAUGGCUGGUACAGAGAGUGGCGAGCCUGUGAGGGUGAGCGAAUCUCGGAAAGCCGGUCUCAGUUCGGAUUGGGGUCUGCAACUCGACCUCAUGAAGUCGGAGUCGCUAGUAAUCGCAAAUCAGCAACGCUGCGGUGAAUACGUUCCCGGGGCC
rnacentral:rRNA from 1 species